rnacentral:snRNA from 1 species
UCACUUACCUGGAUGGGGUCAAUGGGCGAUCAAAAAGGUCCAUGGCCUAGGUUGGUGACCUCCAUUGCACUCAGGAGGGGUGCCCGCCUAAGGUCGGCCCAAGUGGUCGAGCCUACAUCAUAAUUUGUGGUAGUUGGGGCUUGCGUUCGCGCAGCCCCUGC